UGACUAACCUACCCUCGAGUGGGGAAUAACCUAGAGAAAUCUGGGCUAAUACCGCAUAACACUUACGAGUCAAAGCAGCAAUGCGCUUGGGGAGGGGGUCGCGGCCGAUUAGCUAGUUGGCGGGGUAAUGGCCCACCAAGGCGAUGAUCGGUACCCGGCCUGAGAGGGCGCACGGACACACUGGAACUGAAACACGGUCCAGACUCCUACGGGAGGCAGCAGUGGGGAAUUUUGCGCAAUGGGGGAAACCCUGACGCAGCAACGCCGCGUGGAGGAUGAAAUAUCUUGGUAUGUAAACUCCUUUCGAUGGGGAAGAUUAUGACGGUACCCAUAGAAGAAGCCCCGGCUAACUUCGUGCCAGCAACCGCGGUAAUACGAGGGGGGCAAGCGUUGUUCGGAAUUAUUGGGCGUAAAGGGUGCGUAGGCGGUUUGGCAAGUCUUAUGUGAAAUCUUCGGGCUCAACUCGGAGUCUGCAUGAGAAACUGCCGGGCUUGAGUAUGGGGGAGGUGAGUGGAAUUUCCGGUGUAGCGGUGAAAUGCGUAGAUAUCGGAAGGAACACCUGUGGCGAAAGCGGCUCACUGGACCAUAACUGACGCUGAUGCACGAAAGCUAGGGGAGCAAACAGGAUUAGAUACCCUGGUAGUCCUAGCCCUAAACGAUGAUUGCUUGGUGUGGCAGGUACCCAAUCCUGC
rnacentral:rRNA from 1 species